rnacentral:rRNA from 1 species
AUUGAACGCUAGCGGCAGGCCUAACACAUGCAAGUCGAACGAGUGGCGGACGGGUGAGUAAUAUCUGGGAAAGUGCCUGAUGGAGGGGGAUAACUACUGGAAACGGUAGCUAAUACCGCAUACCAUCGGAUGUGCCCAUAUGGGAUUAGCUAGUAGGUGGGGUAAAGGCUCACCAAGGCAACGAUCCCUAGCUGGUCUGAGAGGAUGACCAGCCACACUGGAACUGAGACACGGUCCAGACUCCUACGGGAGGCAGCAGUGGGGAAUAUUGGACAAUGGGGGCAAGCCUGAUGCAGCCAUGCCGCGUGUAUGAAGAAGGCCUUCGGGUUGUAAAGUACUUUCAGCGGGGAGGCGUUACCCGCAGAAGAAGCACCGGCUAACUCCGUGCCAGCAGCCGCGGUAAUUC